rnacentral:rRNA from 1 species
AGUGAACGCUGGCGGCAGGCCUAACACAUGCAAGUCGAACGACCACAUAGUAAGCUCUCGCUUCUAACGUUAGCGACUGACGGAUGGGUAAGGCGUACAUAGCCUACCUAUAUUACUUGGAGGACUUCGUAAAACCACAUCUGCUACCACAGCAUAUGUUCAACGGGUGUAAGCAGUAGUUCAACGCAGCUUUCCUGUCUCUUUUAGCUGAUGCCGCAUUAGCUAGUUGGCUAGGUAAAGGCACACCAAGGCAACGAUCCGUAGCUGAGCUGAGAGGAUGAUCGGCCACACUGGAACUGAGACACGGUCCAGACUCCUACGGGAGGCAGCAGUGGGGAAUAUUGGACAAUGGGCGCAAGCCUGACCCAGCCAUGCCGCGUGAGUGAAGAAGGCCUUCGGGUUGUAAAGCCCUUUUGUUGGGGAAGAAAAGCAGCAGAUGAAAACCCCGCUGUUCUGACGGUACCCAAAGAAAAAGCACCGGCUAACUUCGUG